GAAAGCGAUGCUAAUACCGUAUAAGCUCACGAUUUGAUUGGUUGUGGGAAAAGAUGGCCUCUGUAUAUGCUAUCGCUUGAAGAUGAGUCCGCGUACCAUUAGCUUGUUGGUAGGGUAAUGGCCUACCAAGGCUUCGAUGGUUAGCUGGCCUGAGAGGGCGGCCAGCCACACUGGAACUGAGACACGGUCCAGACUCCUACGGGAGGCAGCAGUGGGGAAUAUUGCGCAAUGGGGGAAACCCUGACGCAGCGACGCCGUGUGAGUGAUGAAGGUUUUCGGAUCGUAAAGCUCUGUCGGGUGGGAAGAAUAAGGGCUGUGUAAAUAAUGCAGUCUGAUGACGGUACCACCAAAGGAAGCACCGGCUAACUCCGUGCCAGCAGCCGCGGUAAUACGGAGGGUGCAAGCGUUGUUCGGAAUUAUUGGGCGUAAAGGGCGUGUAGGCGGGUAUGCAGGUCAGGUGUGAAAUCCCUCGGCUCAACCGAGGAAGUGCAUUUGAAACCGCAUAUCUUGAGUACGUGAGAGGCAGAUGGAAUUCCCAGUGUAGAGGUGAAUUCAUAG
rnacentral:rRNA from 1 species